rnacentral:rRNA from 1 species
UACGUAGGGAGCGAGCGUUAUCCGGAUUUAUUGGGUGUAAAGGGUGCGUAGACGGGAAAAUAAGUUAGUUGUGAAAUCCCUCGGCUCAACUGAGGAACUGCAACUAAAACUAUUUUUCUUGAGUGCAGAAGAGGAGAGUGGAACUCCAUGUGUAGCGGUGGAAUGCGUAGAUAUAUGGAAGAACACCAGUGGCGAAGGCGGCUCUCUGGUCUGCAACUGACGCUGAGGCUCGAAAGCAUGGGUAGCGAACAGG